CGUUGGUGAACCAGCGGAGGGAUCAUUACUGAGUUUACGCUCUACAACCCUUUGUGAACAUACCUAUAACUGUUGCUUCGGCGGGUAGGGUCUCCGCGACCCUCCCGGCCUCCCGCCUCCGGGCGGGUCGGCGCCCGCCGGAGGAUAACCAAGCUCUGAUUUAACGACGUUUCUUCUGAGUGGUACAAGCAAAUAAUCAAAACUUUUAACAACGGAUCUCUUGGUUCUGGCAUCGAUGAAGAACGCAGCGAAAUGCGAUAAGUAAUGUGAAUUGCAGAAUUCAGUGAAUCAUCGAAUCUUUGAACGCACAUUGCGCCCGCCAGCAUUCUGGCGGGCAUGCCUGUUCGAGCGUCAUUUCAACCCUCAAGCUCUGCUUGGUGUUGGGGCCCUACAGCCGAUGUAGGCCCUCAAAGGUAGUGGCGGACCCUCCCGGAGCCUCCUUUGCGUAGUAACUUUACGUCUCGCACUGGGAUCCGGAGGGACUCUUGCCGUAAAACCCCCCAAUUUUCCAAAGGUUGACCUCGGAUCAGGUAGGAAUACCCGCUGAACUUAAGCAUAUCA
rnacentral:rRNA from 1 species